rnacentral:misc_RNA from 1 species
GAUGAAGAACGCAACGAAAUGCGAUACGUAAUGUGAAUUGCAGAAUUCAGUGAAUCAUCGAAUCUUUGAACGCAUAUUGCGCUCUCUGGUAUUCCGGAGAGCAUGCUUGUUUGAGUAUCAGUAAACACCUCAACUUCCAUAUCUUUUUUGAAAUGGGAGUUGGACUUGAGUGAUCCCAACGCUUUUCCUCACCGAAAAGUGGCGGGUUACUUGAAAUGCAGGUGCAGCUGGACUUUUCUCUGAGCUAUAAGCAUAUCUAUUUAGUCUGCCUAAAAAACAGAUUAUUACCUUUGCUGCAGCUAACAUAAAGGAGAUUAGUUCUUGUGCUGACUGAUGCAGGAUUCACAAAGACAGGCUUCGGCCGACUUUGUAAACUCGAUCUCAAAUCAAGUAAGACUACCCGCUGAACUUAAGCAUAUCAAUAAGCGGAGGA